rnacentral:rRNA from 1 species
CACAUGCAAGUCGAACGGUAACAUUGGGUGCUUGCACCAGAUGACGAGUGGCGCACGGGUGCGUAACGCGUAUGCAAUCUACCUUUUACUGAAGAAUAGCCCAGAGAAAUUUGGAAUAAUCCUUCAUAACAUCAUUUAUCAGCAUUGAUUUAUGAUUAAAGCUCCGGCGGUAAAAGAUGAGCAUGCGUCCUAUUAGUUUGUUGGUGAGGUAACGGCUCACCAAGACUACGAUAGGUAGGGGCCCUGAGAGGGGGAUCCCCCACACUGGUACUGAGACACGGACCAGACUCCUACGGGAGGCAGCAGUGAGGAAUAUUGGACAAUGGAGGCAACUCUGAUCCAGCCAUGCCGCGUGCAGGAUGACUGCCCUAUGGGUUGUAAACUGCUUUUAUAUAGGAAGAAACACUCCCACGUGUGGGGGCUUGACGGUACUAUAUGAAUAAGGAUCGGCUAACUCCGUGCCAGCAGCCGCGGUAAUACGGAGGAUCCAAGCGUUAUCCGGAAUCAUUGGGUUUAAAGGGUCCGCAGGCGGCCUGUUAAGUCAGAGGUGAAAGCCAACAGCUCAACUGUUGAACUGCCUUUGAUACUGAUAGGCUUGAGUUAUUGUGAAGUGGUUAGAAUGUGUGGUGUAGCGGUGAAAUGCUUAGAUAUCACACAGAAUACCCAUUGCGAAGGCAGAUCACUAACAAUAUACUGAC